GAGAAACGGCUACCACAUCCACGGAAGGCAGCAGGCGCGUAAAUUACCCAAUACCGGCUCGGUGAGGUAGUGACAAAAAAUAACAAUAUGGGCCCUAGUGGUUUCAUAAUUGCAAUGAGAAUAUUUUAAAUACUUUAUCAAGUAUCAAUUGGAGGGCAAGUCUGGUGCCAGCAGCCGCGGUAAUUCCAGCUCCAAAAGCGUAUAUUAAAGUUGUUGCAGUUAAAAAGCUCGUAGUUGAAAUUGGGGAAAUUAAAUGAUUGAAAUCUCACGAUUGAUAUUCAUUUGGUCCUUUAUUGUCGUGUAUAUUUGUCAGGUACUUUAUUGUAUCUGGUAAAUAACCGGCUUGUUUACUUUGAAAAAAUUAGAGUGCUUAAAGCAGGCUUACGCUUGUAUAUUGUUGCAUGGAAUAAUAAAAUAUGACUUCGGUUUUAUUUUGUUGGUUUUCGAAACUGAAGUAAUGAUUAAAAGAGACUGCCGGGGGCAUGUGUAUGCUGGUGUUAGAGGUGAAAUUCUUAGAUCAUCAGCAGACAAACUACU
rnacentral:rRNA from 1 species